GGGCUUGGGGAUGAUACGGCUGUGGUGCAUGCUAGCCCUCUGAUUGUCAGGAUUGACGUGAAUGGUCUGGCUGGUGUGUCCUCUUCCUCAUUCCUCACACCAUGAGUAACUCUCCUGGAGAUCUGAGAGGAUGGUUUUCCUAAGUAAAGAAGGAUUAUUCUUCUAUAAAAGGCAGGCUAUCAUAGUAUUUGCCUGUUAGGAACUUUGUAUCAAUUGAACCAUUACUGGCAAAUUUAAGCAGAAAAUAAUGAUUAUUAUGAAGGUACUGGGAAUAUUUUUAGAGGAAAAAUAAAAUAAUAUU
rfam:Mustela putorius furo unplaced genomic scaffold scaffold01138, whole genome shotgun sequence.